rnacentral:tRNA from 1 species
GUUAAUGUAGCUUAACAUCUAAAGCGAAGCACUGAAAAUGCUCAGAUGGACAUCCAAGUCCCAUAAACA